GACGUAGGGCGCGAGCGUUGUCCGGAUUUAUUGGGCGUAAAGAGCUCGUAGGCGGUUCGGCAAGUCGGAUGUGAAAUCUCCACGCUUAACGUGGAGGGGCCAUUCGAAACUGCUGUGACUCGAGUCCGGUAGGGGAGUGUGGAAUUCCCGGUGUAGCGGUGAAAUGUCGCAGAUAUCGGGAGGAACACCAGUAGCGAAGGCGGGCACUCUGGGCCGGUACUGACGCUGGAGGAG
rnacentral:rRNA from 1 species